GUGAUGAAAUCUCCCUCUUAUGGCCUCUUGCGUAAGGUGGAGGAAAUUUUCUGCUUAGAUCAGCAGAGGAAUUAGGAGUUUGCGCCACAAGGGCCAAUCUCAGUGGGAAACAGGAAGCAGCAGCAAGCAGCUAACUCAGGUACAUCAAGGUAAUGACCCCGUGCUUAUAAGAAGUGUUCAGGAGUGGUAUGGGAGGCCCAGAAGAUGUUUCCAGGAACCAACGAAGGCUUUUUGCAGGACGAGAAGGUGGCUCUGGGCGGAAGCUUGAGGUCUGCUUUGGGAACACAGAAGUAAGGAGAAAGGAUGGCUGCUGACCCUGGGACCUUGUGCGUACGUUGUGGACAUGGACAAGGAAUUGAGGAGGCUGGAAGGUACCAGUCUUACCCAAGAGACAGCAGGAAUGCCAGUGUGUGCACAGGGCUCAGGUGGGUAGAAGCAGUCUGGCUGGGAUAUGAAUGGCAAAGCUGGGACAGUGACCACUGACCUUGUGCUUGUUAUCUGCAUAAAUGGGGCCAGCUCUUGCUAGCAGAUGGCCUCCAUGUAUCCCGCUUACAAAUAGUUGCCCCCAAAUGCUCUCAGAUCUGACGUGAUCUGCACAAAGAGUUUUGUGAGAGGCCAUGUAGGCAUCUCUUACGGUGCAAUUCCCAGCAAACCUUUCCCCAAACCUCUGGAGCCUUUGCUCCUCAGCUUUUCCACUCUAAAACUACCCUCCCGACACACACACACCCCAGUGUCUUCCUUUCUCUCUUUUUCUUCUCAGCCUCCCCUGUUUCUUAGGUUAGCCAGAUUGCAUAGGCCCCUCACAUCGAAGGCUUUCAUCCUUGGCUCAUUCCUCCUGACCCCUACACUCACUACGCCCACUCUCUGGCACGUGCACACCUCUCUUCCUCAGCCUGUGCCUGCGGUCCUCUUCUGACCAACUUCUGGCUCUGGAUUUGGGGAACACCGCAGGUGGGAAAUAGGCAGGGAGAGGGAUGUAGAGGAGGCUCCAGACAAGGAGAGCCGCUAGGAGGCCACAUGUUCCUGAGCAGAGUCCCGGGAAGAAAGAGGACCCACAGGUAGGAGAGGAAACUCUGGUGGGCACUGGGCUUGCCCUAAGGUGUCCCUGGUUUGGGUGAAAUGUCACAUCAAGGUCUCUCUUACCUGACUGUGGAUCCCUGAAUCUGAGCCAUCUGAGCUGAGAUGCCCACCUGCAUCCAUGGUGGCCAUUCCAUAUGUAUUAUAUGGAUAACUAAAUGUCAGAAUGAAUGAAAGAGCACUCCAAUGAGUAAUUCAGUCAGAGAGAAAGGCCCUCCACAAAACCAUGGCAGGUCAAUGGGCAGACAUCAGGACUGGCCCACGAUGCUCCCCUAAAAGUUGGUGACCCAGCAGCUGACAGAAAGGAAGGCACCCUCCUGAUUCACAGCUGGGCAGAAGCAAAGACAGUACUAGAAAUGACCCCAAAGCCAUGCAUACCUUUCCCCCCUAAGAUAAACAGGGAAACCAUGCACCAUUCAGCUUGUGACCUGCCCACUUUUCCUGAGAGCCAAUAUGGGGCUUUUCCCUGCUCCAUGGACUUAAAGUACUACCUCUUCUGAAAAUAUUCAAUUCAAAAGGUGACUGUGCUGAGCUGAUAACUUUAAAUGUAAGAAGGAGGAGGAGAAAAGGGGAGCCAAUGUGUGCGAUUCUCUGUUAUGAACUAGUCACUGUGCUAAUUCACUCUAAUGCUUCCUGCCGCUGUUCAUCUAUCAAUUACUUUCUGAGCACCUACUUUGUUCAGAGUAUAUUCUAGACUUGGGGGAACAGUAGGGAACAAAACAAACAAAAGAAACCUGCCCUGUCAUGCUUGCACUGCAGUGCAGAACACAAAGAAGAAACAAGAAAAUGAUAUCGUAUUAAUGAAUUAGAAGGCAGUGAAUGUAAAGAAGGAAAAUACAACAGAGGGGAUUGCAGCUGGGAAGAACCAGAGAUUAGGAAUAGCAGUGUGGAAUAGGAAUAGGUUAAGGAUGAGGUGCCCUCAUUUCUAGGAAAGAAGAUUCCAGGUAUAGGCAGGUUCUGCACUGGACGGAGAAAGGUCUUUUGAUGGAAAGGCAGGCAGACCUGUCUCGCUUGCUCUUUUUUUUUUUUUUUCCCCCUGAGGCAAGGUCUCUCUAUGUAGUUGAGGUUCGCUUCCAACUCACAAUGUAGCUCAGGCUGGCCUGAAACGGCAGGCCUCUAGCCUCAGCCUCCCAAGUGCUGGGAUUACAGGGGUGCGACCCACUGCUCUUAAAGCCUGCACAGAACUGGCUUAUCCUGUUGGCUCACUUGGUUAAUUCAUCUUGCAAAGGUCAAGGCCACAGGGGAGGCUACAUUUGUUUCCUAACCGAAAGUCAUUUUGCAAGGACAGAAGAGAUGGUCGCCUAAGAAAGUGGAUUAAUUAUCACACACUGCCCUUGGAGCUGUUCUGGAACCUGAUUGUCUGUGGACUGCAUGCCUGGAUUUACACAAAUCCCCCUUUGGGAGCGCCCAUUUCUAUAAAAUGGGGGAAUUCACUUAAAAAUAUCUACCAAAGGAGGCUGGGCUUAUGUAUCGUGUGAGGCACGUUGGUAACCGUGACAUGCUGUAGAAAGUGUUCAUUCGUGUUUUUAUGACACCAUAAACAUAACUCUGGGCUCUGUAUAGCUCAUGCAGGAUUUGUGAAGUCAUGUUAGUAAGCAAAGAUAGUUUUUUGCUUAUGGUCACAAAGUCUAUUUUUUACUUAUGUGUUAUAAUCUUAUUAUUUGGGUGGGGAAAGAUUUCAUGGCUGCGCUCCAGCCUGCCUGAUCUUUGGGUGGAUCUAUCAGGCCAUUUCCCAAACCUGAGAUAAUUCACUAUCCCCACCCCAACCCCCUGUCCAGCCUCACUGAAGAGAGCUGCGUAUCCCUGCCAGUAUGUGACUGGACUCUGGGUGCUGCCAAACGAUUCUCAUCCUGUGGUUAAACCCUUGUUUGUGUCCUUUGGUAGAAGUUACAAACACUGUCCACUGCCCCAAGUCCCCAGUCCCAUAGCUCCUUCCUGGCUCUCAGCAUACGGCCACUCUUCAGUGACAUAACAGGAGCGUCUUCCUGGCUGGAAAUUCCUCACCCAGACCUCGAUCUACCAAUUACUUCACCCGUCUUUUUUAGUUGUUGCAACCAACAGCAUCUCCCUGGUGGAGGGGAUGACUUCUUCCCCUGAAGAAAUAAUCAGACCGACUCAGAAAGAUUUAUAAAUGACGAAGUUGAUCACUGUCCUAUUUAUAAGCAACUAGGAAGCAAUGUAAGUCCAACAAGAGGAACUGGUUAAACCGAUUAUAUACAGCCAUGAGAUGGCCUGGGGAGAUUUUAUAACCAGUACAAUCCCAAUUUUGCUAGAAACAAAACAAAAUCCAUAAAGAGCAAACAUAAAUAUAGGUGCAUAAGGGAAAAUUAGGAAGGGAAUAUUCAAAAAAUAAAAUGAUUAUCUUUAGGCAAUGAGAUAAUGAGUGAUUUUUAACUUAUUAUUGGUACUUUAUUAGCUUCUGAAAUUUCUACUGUAAGCGUAUAGUAUUUUUGUAAUUGAAACAAAAAAACCCCAACAGUAUUAAUGACAACACUUUCCAUGGAAAAGCUGCCUGGGAUUCAGUUCUUCUUGUGCUCCCUUUGCACACAGCCUUUCUUGGGGUGGUGCCUGGUGGACAGCUGCACAGCAACUCUCAUUACAAGUAAGGGCUCGCAGCAAAGGAAACCAGAACCAAUUAACAUUACAGCGGGAACUGAGGUAUGCAGGAUGGAAAUGCCUCAACAGGAACGCGCUCGUAACUAUUUUUUUUUUUUCCAUUUUGGGACAGGUGUUUAGGGGAAUGUACUACAUUUACUACAGAUAAUUUAUUUUUUAAAAAAUGCUAUGAUUAUUGCAUUUUUCUGCCUCUGUUUUCAUGGGAACUUUUAAUAUGCAGAACCAUUCAGCUACGGAUACUGCACGUUAUGUCUUUUUAAUCUAGUUAAUGGAGAUCCCACUGUGUGCCAGCACUGGUGAGACAAGGGUUAUGUGAUCAUGGUAGACAGCUCAGUAGUAAAUAGAAUGACAUUGGCUAUCAGGGCUUGGAAAUAUUUGGGGGUGUUCUUUGGUGGAUAGGGUUGCUAGCCACUCUAUAAUACAUGGGACAGUCUUAUGUAAUCAAAGAUUGGCCUACCCCAAAUGCCAACAUCUGGGAGGGUGGACAUUGAAGUGGUCAUUUUGAGUACAGAAGAUGGUUCCCUAUACCCUAGCCAUGCAAGAGGGGCUGUGGGGAACCUGGGACAGCCCCAGACAUAGUCAUACUGAAAUUCGGGGCUACUACAUCUCCCAGCUUUUCCAGCAAAGUCAUAAAUCUAGAUGAUGAUGUACAAUUUCCUGAUUUUUAAAAAAUACUACAUAGGCCAAACAAAACAUAUCUAUGGUUCAAAUUUGGCUCUCAGGUUGCCAAUUCACAACUUUGUUUUAGGAAAAGACACAAUCGCUGUCUUCACCAGAGGAUUGUAACAGAGGGGCGUGGAAUGUGGCCAGGCAGGAUGGGAGGAAGAGGAACAGCCUGAACACAGGCAAAGAGACAGAUGAUAUAAUCCUAAUAACAACUGAGUGCUCUGCACACAUGCCAGGCACUCACUGAGUACUCCACAAAGUGGUGAAUGUCCCUUCAGACUGCAUACCUCCAUGGGACAAGGCAUGAGUCUGGAAAGAUCCCCAGAAGCCAGGUCCUAAUACUGUUAGUCUAAAGCAUGAAGAGAAUAUUUAAUUUGUGAAUAUUUAAUUUACAAAAGUAGAGGCAGGGGCAGUUGUCCUGUGGGGAGGUCGGACAGGGACUGGCAAGGUUGAGGUCACAGAGAAAGAUGCUUUACUAGGCAGAACUUGGGAGAAGAUCGGGGUGGUCAAAAUCAAUCAACUCCUAGAUGAAACAACUUUAAACUCUUCUUGUACAAACCACUAUGCUAUCUUAGCUCUCUCCACCUUCCAGUUGUAGGAUUCAUUUACUACUUUGCUCCCUAUUAACUGUUCCUCAUGGUUACAAAUGUGUCUUCUCAACUAUUUUUUAAAAAAAUGUUGCUAACAACUCCUUCUCUGGGCAAUUUUCUGUUAUUUCUCAAUCUCUCCAGAAAACCUAUACCUAUCCCCAACCUCAUCCCCUCACAGUACAGAUCUUGCUAGGAUUAUUGAUGGGUUGGGAACAGCAAAUCUUCCAGAGUUUUGAUCCACCUGGGCUGGCUGAUACGGAAUCCCAAACCACACAAGAAGGAAGGAUGUGCUUAGCGAAUACCGUGAAACAAUAUUUUCAAGGGGAAAUUGCUAAUCCACUAAAAGAACAAACUGUCUCCAAGCAUUCCAAUAAUAUCAUUUACAUUCCAACAGGCAAAAUGAUGUUUACACAGGAGGAACAUCUAUUUUUAUAAGUAGACCAGGCACACCUCUCCUACGGAAGAUUUUGUUGGCAGUGAUUCUGAUCAACUCUAUAGGAUGGAGAGGAAUAAGAGUCUUGCUGGGGUUGCAUAGUGCCUGAGAAUCUUCAAACCACAAGCUAAAUUUGUCCAAAUCAGUGACAUUUCACUGCAACAAAUCUUUAGCAUGAAAGAAUCCAUGAAUAAUCAUUUAAACUUCCCCUGCACAAAACUGCAAUAAACAAGUGUCCUAGGGGCACAGGCACUUAAGUCCCAUUAACUUCCCAGGAAAGAAGCCCUUGUUUGGAAAAGCAGUAAAAUGUCCACAUUUCCAGCAGGACAAGUAAACAAAAGCAAGUGUUGGUGGCUGGCUUGUCCUGGGCUAGCAGGAAGCCGUGCACAGGAACAGAGCACCCUGAUACGGCAAGAGGGACACAGCCUGCUGGGGUAGGGGAGAAUAUUACUGCACUUUGUACCCCCAAAGGAGUCCUGCUAGUUCUUGGUUAGUAGCAGGACGACCACUACUGUCCAUCUGGGUUCCCCUAAUUCCACUCCCCGGUUCAAGCCCGCCACAGAAACAGAUGCUGGUGGAUAGCAGCAAAACUUGCAGCAAUAAAGAGUCAUUAGACAAAGGACAGAACCAGCCAAAGUUUUACUAGGCUGCUUUGUAGGUGGCAAGUUUCCUGUCACCAGAGGCAACCAAACAUGAGCUCAACAUCACUCAGCAGGGAGAGUAGCAGGAUUCCAGGAUUUCACAGUGGCUUCCUUCCAGGGCUUAGAAGCAAAAGGAAAAAAGAAAAACCUAUCAGAUCUUUUUCUCCUUCUUUUGGAUCCUGUCUUAUAAAAGUGUGCCCAGGGCAGGAACUAAACACCAGAUAUGAGCUAAUAGUCUUGUGUUUACCAGGACCUGUGAUUUGCUGCGAUUUGGCACAAGUGAUUUCUCAUUCCUCUGGUUUGGGGGCACAAAGACAUCUGACUUCCCUGCUCCACGCAUGACUACCGUGGCUCCAGCGCAGGGAAGGUUCCAAGUCUGACUCAGUCAAGAGCCUUGGAACUGGGACUGUUCUGAGGAGGUGGACAGGCAGCUGAAAAUAUCUCUGGUGAUUUCUGAAGGAUCUGAGGCCUGGAGCUCAAGACUCUCAGCUCCCACCAGCCUCGCUCCCUCCUGGGGAUUUAAAUCUUGGGGACAGGGGUGUCCUGUAAUCAAAUGCAAAUUAGGUCUUCAAGCACCACGGGGCUAGCUGAGAGCCCUGGGAGCCGAGUGGGAGGGCUCUGGGGAGCCAUGGCCCCCCACGGUGGAGGUCAGGCGAGAAGAACGGAAAAGCCAGUCGGAUCCUGAGGGCCCAGAGGCCUCGAGCAGCCCCACCUGGGCCCUGGGCCUCGCACGCGGCCCUGAGCUGGGGCGGGAGGUAAUCUAGUCCUUCCGCCCGGUCCUCGGUCCUCGGCGCUGACUUGCGAGGCAGAACCCCACCCGGGGCGCCCCGACGCCGCGGGCCCUUGAGGAGGGAGGCAGAGCCGGCUCGGAACCGGCUGCAACCGGUGAAUCAGAUUGCUCUCCUCCCCCGCCUGCUGCCGCCCCGCAACCCUUCCCAAUCAGGGAGUCUAAAGUUACCGGCGGCCCGCAGCCUCUGCAGCGAGCCGAGCUCUAAAUAAGACCAACAGGCCUGACUCCUGAGCCGGAGCCCAGGAAUGCGGCCGGCAGGGCCGGGCGGGCCGGGGCGGGGCGCUGGGGACCCCGCAGCUCGGUUAGGGCGCAGCAUGGGCCCAGCUGGACGAGAUGCACCCAACAGCCAGGGCAGGUGGGAGCAGGGGAGACGAAGCUGUGCCAGCUUAGCAAGUUUCUGCCUCUGCCCCCUCCCCAAGACUCUCCAGGAAGACACUGCAGAGGCCCCUAAGACAGGACCCCCGCGUUGAGUCUCCUGUGUGUGUGGGAAACGGGGUCUCCAGCGGGGUUUUGAUCUGCACUCGUUUAGUAGGCAGCACCAUGUCUUGUGAGUGUUUCUCAGAGGCCCCUGGUUAGCCUGUGGGGCCUAAAGGACUCCAUUCAAAAAAAACGUCCGAAGGUCUGAUUUCACUCUGGAGGAGAGGGACACCAGAAUGGGGAGUGUUCUGUGUUAGGGUGUCCCCAGCCUGGCCUGGCCUGGCCUGCUCUUUCCUGGAGAGGGAGAACAAGAACAAGAACGUCUCAGGAAAGAGGGUAGAGCUGCUGGCUCUCCUGA